GUCUUAGGUUUUGGAAUUUCUUAAUGUUCUUUUUCAUUUUAAAUAAAAAUGCUAUUUUUUCUCCCUGCAACUUUGCCAUUUAAACAUGAUCACAGACAUAUUUUUUCAGGCUCCUUUUUUGACACAACCCAAGCUAUUGGCGUAAGAAGACAAUUCUGCAUUUUCUGAUUAAGUAGCUGGAAAUCCAAUAUAAUUGUCUUUCAUUUUAAUCUUUUGGUCUGGAGUAACUCACAUUUGUUCUUAUCCUGAGGAAAAUGAAGCAUAUUUCUGGAAUUCAAAUCUUGAUCUACCAGAGGAAAGAAUUUGCCUUAAGAAUCUUACAAGGACCUUGGAGCAUUUACAUCUGAGCCCUUCUAACUGAUGGUUUAACAGAGAAAAAAAUGCAAGGUACUGAAGUUUUUUACAUAUGUUUCCAGUGACUGUAGUCAUGGCCCAUCUUUCCAGCCUGCUGGGCUCACUCCAUGCUGCUGUCAGGCCGAGAGAGGUUGCUUCCUAAAUUGCAACUUGGAUUCCAUUUUAAACAUCCAUUGGAAGGGAGUCUGUACGUGCCCCUUUAGAGACCUUCUCUGCUGUCCACUCCCUUCUCCACAUCUUUCAACUUUCCUGCGUGCCUGUCAGAGGCUGAAAUGGUUAACGGCUUAGGUGUUGUUAAGUUCACCAAAAGACUUUUGUCCACUGUGGCAAACUGCAAAGAAAUAGCAAGACCAUCACUUUGGCAGGACUGCAACCAUCACUUCAACCAACAGACAUGGAAAUUGCAACUACCAAGUCUCAUCGUUGGAUCCAGU